rnacentral:rRNA from 1 species
AUUGACGCUGGCGGCAGGCCUAACACAUGCAAGUCGGACGAGCGGCGGACGGGUGAGUAAUGUAUGGGGAUCUGCCUGAUGGAGGGGGAUAACUACUGGAAACGGUAGCUAAUACCGCAUACCAUCAGAUGAACCCAUAUGGGAUUAGCUAGUAGGUGGGGUAAAGGCUCACCUAGGCGACGAUCCCUAGCUGGUCUGAGAGGAUGAUCAGCCACACUGGAACUGAGACACGGCCCAGACUCCUACGGGAGGCAGCAGUGGGGAAUAUUCGGCAAUGGACGAAAGUCUGAUCGAGCAACGCCGCGUGAGUGAAGAAGGUCUUCGGGUUGUAAAACACUUUUGUCAGAGAAGCGUUAUCCAACCAAAAAGCCCCGGCUAACUACGUGCCAGCAGCCGCGGUAAUUC